rnacentral:rRNA from 1 species
GACGAACGCUGGCGGCGUGCUUAACACAUGCAAGUCGAACGAAGAGCGAUGGAAGCUUGCUUCUAUCAAUCUUAGUGGCGAACGGGUGAGUAACGCGUAAUCAACCUGCCCUUCAGAGGGGGACAACAGUUGGAAACGACUGCUAAUACCGCAUACGAUCUAACCUCGGCAUCGAGGAAAGAUGAAAGGUGGCCUCUAUUUAUAAGCUAUCACUGAAGGAGGGGAUUGCGUCUGAUUAGCUAGUUGGAGGGGUAACGGCCCACCAAGGCGAUGAUCAGUAGCCGGUCUGAGAGGAUGAACGGCCACAUUGGGACUGAGACACGGCCCAGACUCCUACGGGAGGCAGCAGUGGGGAAUCUUCCGCAAUGGACGAAAGUCUGACGGAGCAACGCCGCGUGAGUGAUGACGGCCUUCGGGUUGUAAAGCUCUGUUAAUCGGGACGAAAGGCCUUC